UACGUAGGGUGCAAGCGUUGUCCGGAAUUAUUGGGCGUAAAGAGCUCUGUAGGCGGUCUGUCGCGUCUGCUGUGAAAACUCAGGGCUUAACCCUGAGCUUGCAGUGGGUACGGGCAGACUAGAGUGCGGUAGGGGAGACUGGAAUUCCUGGUGAUAGCGGUGAAAUACGCAGAUAUCAGGAGGAACACCGGUGGCGAAGGCGGGUCUCUGGGCCGAUACUGACGUGGAGGAGCGAAAGCGUGGGGAGCGAACAGG
rnacentral:rRNA from 1 species